rnacentral:rRNA from 1 species
CAGGUGGUCAGGUAGAGAAUACCAAGGCGCUUGAGAGAACUCGGGUGAAGGAACUAGGCAAAAUGGUGCCGUAACUUCGGGAGAAGGCACGCUGAUAUGUAGGUGAAGCCCCUGCGGGUGGAGCUGAGAUCAGUCGAAGAUACCAGCUGGCUGCAACUGUUUAUUAAAAACACAGCACUGUGCAAACACGAAAGUGGACGUAUACGGUGUGACGCCUGCCCGGUGCCGGAAGGUUAAUUGAUGGGGUUAUCCGUA